GGUAGCAUAAUCAUUUGUUCUCUAAAUAAGGACUUGUAUGAAAGGCCACACGAGGGUUUAACUGUCUCUUACUUCCAAUCAGUGAAAUUGACCUUCCCGUGAAGAGGCGGGAAUAAAAUAAUAAGACGAGAAGACCCUAUGGAGCUUCAAUUAAUUAGCUCAAGAGGAUUUAUUUACCAGACCGACAGGAACAACAUAUUCCUUCCAUGAGCUAGCAAUUUAGGUUGGGGCGACCUCGGAGUACAAAAUAACCUCCGAGUGAUAUUAAUCUAGACGUACCAGUCAAAAUGCUCACUCACUUAUUGAUCCAAAACUUCUUUGAUCAACGGAACAAGUUACCCUAGGGAUAACAGCGCAAUCCUAUUUAAGAGUCCAUAUCGACAAUAGGGUUUACGACCUCGAUGUUGGAUCAGGACAUCCUAAUGGUGCAGCAGCUAUUAAGGGUUCGUUUGUUCAACGAUUAAAGUCCUACGUGAUCUGAGUUCAGACCGGAGC
rnacentral:rRNA from 1 species